rnacentral:tRNA from 1 species
GCGGCCGCUCGUCCGGCCCGACCGGACCCGAGGUGAGCACGACCUCGGCCGUGGCGAUGCCGUUGCGGAGCCGACGUCCGGCCUCCUUGCGGCCGCCC